AAAAGACUAACAUAGCUCUUUUUAUGCCUUACAGUAAGUCAGACUGCAAGUCCAUCGAGCCCACUGGUUCGCAACCUGUGGGCCGCGGCCCAGCAGUGGGCCGCAACAUUGAAAAUCCGCUUUUUCUCAUCUACCAUAGAAAAUCUGUUCAAGAAAGAAGAUGAAAUAUAGACACACAGUUUUUAAUCAUGAGCAUGAGAAGUGAUCUGUCUAGAAACAUUCUGUGGAAUAAAUGUGAGCUUCCUCUUUUAGAUCAUUCACCAUUGAUGUUGUCCUCCCCUGAAGACAUUCCAACUUAUCGAUCUCUUUCAUGCCCAGAACGGAACACAGUAUCCCAGGGGUGAGAGCUAACAUGAUGCAGUAGUUUGAGUGUUGGGACUACAAUUCUGAAGUCCAGGAUUUCAUUCCAUUUGGCCAUGGAAACCCAUUGAGUGAUGUUGGGUGAAUCACACAGCCCCCCCCCCCAAGUUAUAAGUCCAUCUCAACAACAAAAAUGCCAGGGGAGGUCUGGCCAAAGCAUGGCAGAAAAAGCAUGGCAGAAAAGUACUUGAUAGGUCAAAGGAAAUAAUAUUGAUCCAUUCUGCUUUGAAAUUCAUUCUGCUUGUCUGGGAUUGACAUUCAGCCAGUUAAGUGACCUUUCAGUCAUUUCAAGAUGAAAAUCUGAACUUGCAAAUAGUCCAAUAUAUGUUCAUCUCCCUGAAUAGAAACAUUCCUAAGUUUCGGAUUCUAUUUAUUUUUUAGUUUCUCCUCUUAUUUCAUUUUUAAAAUUUAUACACCUUGAAACACUCCUCUUUGCACUGUCAGUUAUUAUAUAUUUACCCUGUCCUGGCUAUGUGUUGAUUGCAGAGCCAGAUAAAUGUCAAAACAAUCCACAAGAUUGGCUGAUAGAAGGAUUUUCAGUGCCAUUUGGCUGGAAAAAUGAAAUAAAACGUGGAAAUUUCACUAGUUUGCAAUGAAACAAAGAUUCAAUUCUUUUAAAACUAAGCAGUAUAACAUUUAGAAAAAGAGAAAAUUUAACAAACAAACCUCUGUUUAAAGUUUGAACAACUACUUUCAGAAAGCAUACAUGUGUUCAUUUCUUUAAAAGCUCAGGUAAGGUAGUUGGAUAGUGAUGCUCAAUAGAAGCAAUUAUUGUUCUUUUGAAGUCUGAAGAUGGAAAAUAUGUUACAGCUGUACAAAACUUGGGCUGUCAUAAUCACAAAUUUGCCAGUAACUAGAAUAUUUUAAAUUGUGCUGAACAAUUUUUGCAUCAAGAAAAAUCUUCAAAGGCCAACAUGCUCAAUUGAGUUUCACAAAGGGCAAAAGGAAUCGUGUGUUUCCAAGGCUGGAUGCCACAACCAUUACAUUCCUGCUUACCAUCCUCAUAGUUUUGAAAUGAAUACAGGAAAAUACCUGGAACAAGUCCUUUUAGCUGAUUUGAAGAGGUGCCUCCUGGGUUAUGCAAAAUCUAGGCCACCAUGCCCUCCAACAUUUCACAGAUAAAAACUGGGACACAUGUGGCCGAGAAAUAUCACCGUUGGUCAUUAAUGUGGAAGAACAAAGAACACAGAAGCAUAGGAGAGUCUGCAGCAGUUUGCUUUUGGCUUAACCUAUUGUGAGUUGGGAAGCCCCCCCCCUCCCCUCCACAGGGCAUUAAGUAAAUUGAAUACAAAAUACUUUGGCAGUUUGAAUUAUGCUUGCAGCCACUGAAAUAAACUCAGUACAAAAGGGGAAAGUGGGAGGAACAGAGAGAAACUGCUUAAAAACAGCUGUAAAAGUGAGAUGUCAGAGGAUUACUUGGGACAGUCCAUGACAAAAUGGGACAGUUGGAAUUCAUGGGCUAUGAAAGUUUUUUAAAUCCAAGAAUUAGCACUUCAAUUUAGUCCUGAAAGUUAAUAAAGAACCAGUAUCAUUCCAAUCUUUGCAUGCUCAAAGGGAAUUUUUGAUAUUCCGCGCCUCUUUAAAAUUCCAAACUGUCUUUCAAGGGCAGUCCCAAGAAACCAUGCUGCAAAAUAUUUUACAAAAUAUUUGCUGUUUAACUUUAACAAAAAAAACUCCACCAACCUACGCAUCUUUAUUUAACCUGUACAAUGCCACAAUUUUGUGCUAUAGGGCAGGAUAUAUAUAUAUAUGCCAAUGAAACAACAUGAAACAAAACAAAAGGCAGUAGCUUCACCCGUGCAAAUUCUGUCAUGACUUCAUAGUGGUGAGGACAGAUCCAGGUCAUCUGAGGAGGUUGUAAGAAGUGUGUCUGGCCAUAACUAUCAUGUAGUGCUCCACAAACAGAGCUGAGCCAAGGAUAACUAACUCCAUAUUUACCCAUACAGAGAAAGUGCAAUCCUG
rnacentral:lncRNA from 11 species